UUGAAAGGGAAACGAUUGAAGUCAGUCAUGCUAGUAGGGAAUCAACUUGAUGUAUCCUGAACUUAUAAUUCUUGAUCUUUCUUGUGCACUUUCUUACUUGGCAGGUUAGCAUCAAUUUCGGAUAUCAUUAAAAAAUUGAGGGAAUGUAGCUUUCUUUCGGGAAAGUGUUAUAGACCUUGAUAAAAUGUGGUGACCGAGAUUGAGGAUUGCAGCGGAUACCUUUUAGGCUAGUCACCUGGCUUCUGACGGUUACCCCGCUUUCGAUAGCUUGCUAACGACUGUGGGAUUUAACAGUCUAGAUGUUGGAGUGAUCUUAUAUUCGCUAAGGAUGCUGACGUAAUGGCUUUAAACGACCCGUCUUGAAACACGGACCA
rnacentral:rRNA from 1 species